GACGAACGCUGGCGGCGUGCUUAACACAUGCAAGUCGAACGGAAAGGCUCCAGCUUGCUGGAGUACUCGAGUGGCGAACGGGUGAGUAACACGUGGGUAAUCUGCCCUGCACUCUGGGAUAAGCCUGGGAAACUGGGUCUAAUACUGGAUAUGACCUUUCUCCUUAUGGGGUUUGGUGGAAAGUUUUUCGGUGUAGGAUGAGCCCGCGGCCUAUCAGCUUGUUGGUGGGGUGAUGGCCUACCAAGGCGACGACGGGUAGCCGGCCUGAGAGGGUGAUCGGCCAAAUUGGGACUGAGAUACGGCCCAGACUCCUACGGGAGGCAGGAGGGGGGAAUAUUGCACAAUGGGCGGAAGCCUGAUGCAGCGACGCCGCGUGAGGGAUGACGGCCUUCGGGUUGUAAACCUCUUUCAGCAGGGACGAAGCGUAAGUGACGGUACCUGCAGAAGAAGCACCGGCUAACUAUGUG
rnacentral:rRNA from 1 species